rnacentral:rRNA from 1 species
CCGUGGUAGGCUUUCCUGCAGUCGAACGGCCUCUUCAGAGACAGUCUGAGCCUUUCCAUGCAAGUCGAACGGCAGCGCGAGAGAGCUUGCUCUCUUGGCGGCGAGUGGCGGACGGGUGAGUAAUAUAUCGGAACGUGCCCAGUAGCGGGGGAUAACUACUCGAAAGAGUGGCUAAUACCGCAUACGCCCUACGGGGGAAAGGGGGGGAUCGCAAGACCUCUCACUAUUGGAGCGGCCGAUAUCGGAUUAGCUAGUUGGUGGGGUAAAGGCUCACCAAGGCAACGAUCCGUAGCUGGUUUGAGAGGACGACCAGCCACACUGGGACUGAGACACGGCCCAGACUCCUACGGGAGGCAGCAGUGGGGAAUUUUGGACAAUGGGGGAAACCCUGAUCCAGCCAUCCCGCGUGUAUGAUGAAGGCCUUCGGGUUGUAAAGUACUUUUGGCAGAGAAGAAAAGGUAUCUCCUAAUACGAGAUACUGCUGACGGUAUCUGCAGAAUAAGCACCGGCUAACUACGUGCCAGCAGCCGCGGUAAUACGUAGGGUGCAAGCGUUAAUCGGAAUUACUGGGCGUAAAGCGUGUGUAGGCGGUUCGGAAAGAAAGAUGUGAAAUCACCUUGGAACUGCAUUUUUAACUGCCGAGCUAGAGUAUGUCAGAGGGGGGUAGAAUUCCACGUGUAGCAUUGAAAUGCGUAAAUAUGUGGAGGAAUACCGAUGGCGAAGGCAGCCUCUCUGGGAUAAUACUGACGCUCACACACGAAAGCGUGGGGAGCAGAGCGGGUAUUACAUACCCUGGUAGUCCACGCCCUAAACGAUGUCAACUAGGCUGAUUGGGGUUGUUAGGUCUUUAGUAGCGCAGCUUACGACGUGAGCUGGACGACUGGAGGAGUACUGUCGCUAUGAAUAAACUCAAGGUACUGACGGGACCGUCAUAGCGUCGAUGAAUGUUGAAUAGAUUCGAAUUCUAUCGCGAUCAAA